GUUUUGUUUUCUCUAACUUUCCAAGCAAAAACCACAUUGGAGAAAGGGAUAGGUUGAAAGGAGUUUAAUUACUUAAGGGAAGCCAUGUUUGAGAGUUUCCACGUUAUAGGUGAUGGAGAGAGUUCUCAUGCUGGGCGUGGAACUUAGUCGUGUUGCUCAGGUUUAUAUGCCGCGUUUCAAAAGUAAGAGGAAAAUGUGGGAUGUUGAAGUAGAGGGGUUUCAGGAGGAUUAAACAGCUCAUGUCCAUGUACUUUGGUUUAUAUGCCGCGUUUCAAAAGUAAGAGGAAAAUGUGGGAUGUUGAAGUAGAGGGGUUUCAGGAGGAUUAAACAGCUCAUGUCCAUGUACUUUGGUUUAUAUGCCGCGUUUCAAAAGUAAGAGGAAAAUGUGGGAUGUUGAAGUAGAGGGGUUUCAGGAGGAUUAAACAGCUCAUGUCCAUGUACUUACUAAUCUUUCAGCUGCAACCUUAACAUUGAGUUCACUUUAUGCAGGAAUCAGAGGAUUGAUGUUAAUUCUGGAUGAAGAAUUUGACAUUUCACACUCCAGGAAAGAAACUUUCGUACUGAAGCAAAGACAAAAUUUUAUAGAUGAAAAGUAAAUUGUUUCUGUUAAAAAGCCUCAUCUAUUGAAUUGUGUGGAAGAAAAUUAUUUUCAUACUAUCAGUUUUACUAUUAAGAAUUAAAAGUCCAGAAAUGGAAAAAAUACACAAAAAAGGUGAAGAGUCACACAACAGAAAUGUGCCUAAGCCUAUAUUCCAGCAACAUCAAUUAUUGAAUAGAAGAAACAACACUUAGGGAAAAUAGAAACUAAUAAUACAUGAUGAUGUUUUGUUUCAGUCUAA